UACGGAGGGGGGCUAGCGUUGUUCGGAAUUAUUGGGCGUAAAGCGCGUGUAGGCGGCUUUGCAAGUCGGGUGUGAAAGCCCUCAGCUUAACUGAGGAAGUGCGCCCGAAACUGCAGAGCUUGAGUACCGGAGAGGAUGGUGGAAUUCCCCAAGUAGAGGUGAAAUUCGUAGAUAUGGGGAGGAACACCGGUGGCGAAGGCGACCAUCUGGACGGAUACUGACGCUGAGACGCGAAAGCGUGGGUAGCAAACAGG
rnacentral:rRNA from 1 species